UACGUAGGGCGCGAGCGUUGUCCGGAAUUAUUGGGCGUAAAGAGCUCGUAGGCGGUUUGUUGCGUCGGCUGUGAAAACCCGAGGCUCAACCUCGGGCCUGCAGUCGAUACGGGCAAACUAGAGUACUGCAGGGGAGACUGGAACUCCUGGUGUAGCGGUGAAAUGCGCAGAUAUCAGGAGGAACACCGGUGGCGAAGGCGGGUCUCUGGGCAGUAACUGACGCUGAGGAGCGAAAGCGUGGGGAGCGAACAGG
rnacentral:rRNA from 1 species